UACGUAGGUGGCAAGCGUUGUCCGGAAUUAUUGGGCGUAAAGCGCGCGCAGGCGGUCCUUUUAAGUCUGAUGUGAAAGCCCACGGCUCAACCGUGGAGGGUCAUUGGAAACUGGGGGACUUGAGUACAGAAGAGAAGAGUGGAAUUCCACGUGUAGCGGUGAAAUGCGUAGAGAUGUGGAGGAACACCAGUGGCGAAGGCGACUCUUUGGUCUGUAACUGACGCUGAGGCGCGAAGGCGUGGGGAGCAAACAGG
rnacentral:rRNA from 1 species